rnacentral:rRNA from 1 species
UGGUCUGAGAGGAUGAUCAGCCACAUUGGGACUGAGACACGGCCCAAACUCCUACGGGAGGCAGCAGUGGGGAAUAUUGGACAAUGGGCGCAAGCCUGAUCCAGCCAUGCCGCGUGAGUGAUGACGGCCUUAGGGUUGUAAAGCUCUUUCGUCAGGGACGAUAAUGACGGUACCUGAAGAAGAAGCCCCGGCUAACUUCGUGCCAGCAGCCGCGGUAAUACGAAGGGGGCUAGCGUUGUUCGGAAUUACUGGGCGUAAAGCGCGUGUAGGCGGGUCUUUAAGUCAGGGGUGAAAUGCCAGGGCUCAACCUUGGAACUGCCUUUGAUACUGGAGAUCUUGAGUCCGGGAGAGGUGAGUGGAACUGCGAGUGUAGAGGUGAAAUUCGUAGAUAUUCGCAAGAACACCAGUGGCGAAGGCGGCUCACUGGCCCGGUACUGACGCUGAGAUGCGAAAGCGUGGGGAGCAAACAGGAUUAGAUACCCUGGUAGUCCACGCUGUAAACGAUGGAUGCUAGCCGUUAGGCAGCUUGCUGCUUAGUGGCGCAGUUAACACUUUAAGCAUCCCGCCUGGGGAGUACGGUCGCAAGAUUAAAACUCAAAGGAAUG